AUUGAACGCUGGCGGCAGGCCUAACACAUGCAAGUCGAGCGAGCGGCGAGGGGGUGAGUAAUGUAUGGGGACUGCCCGAUAGCGGGCGAUAACUGCUGGAAAAGGUAGCUAAUACCGCAUACUAGCGGCUAACCCCUAGGUGAUUAGCUAGUAGGUGGGGUAAUGGCUCACCUAGGCGACGAUCCCUAGCUGGUCUGAGAGGAUGAUCAGCCACACUGGGACUGAGACACGGCCCAGACUCCUACGGAGGCAGCAGGGGGGAAUAUUGCACAAUGGGCGAAAGCCUGAUGCAGCCAUGCCGCGUGUAUGAAGAAGGCCCUAGGGUUGUAAAGUACUUUCAGUCGGGAGGCGUUACCGACAGAAGAAGCACCGGCUAACUCCGUGCCAGCAGCCGCGGUAAUAC
rnacentral:rRNA from 1 species